UACGAAGGGUGCAAGCGUUAAUCGGAAUUACUGGGCGUAAAGCGCGCGUAGGUCGUUUGGUAAGUUGGAAGUGAAAGCCCCGGGCUCAACCUGGGAAUUGCUUUCAAAACUGCCUGACUAGAGUACGGUAGAGGGUGGUGGAAUUUCCUGUGUAGCGGUGAAAUGCGUAGAUAUAGGAAGGAACAUCAGUGGCGAAGGCGACCACCUGGACUGAUACUGACACUGAGGUGCGAAAGCGUGGGGAGCAAACAGG
rnacentral:rRNA from 1 species